rnacentral:lncRNA from 1 species
UUUUUUUUAAUUAAUUAUUGUUAUAAAGUAAAAUUUUCGUUACAUUUUUUUUUGUACUUCCUUGUUACUUUCUUAAUUUUCAGUAUUUAAAUGAAAUCACAUUCGAAGGUUAUUAAGAAAAAUGAUAAAAAGUGGUUAAAAGUUCGACGCAUAAUAAUAAUGAUAGUCACCAGUCAUGGAGAAAACAAAAGUCUUAAGAUCCAAAACACACACAAUACGAAGAACACAAAACCCAUCGAGGCAUAAAAUUAAUCAACGAGAAGAAGUAGAGCAGAACAGAAAACCUUUGUCUUCAGUCGAUCAUAAAACCUCCACCACUCACCACAACUAACACUAACGGAGCGAGACAAGUCACUACCGCACUGGAAAAACGAAUGAAAACAAAAUAAUGCAACUAUAUUUGCGUCCAUUGUCUGCAUUUAGCUGUAUUUGCGUCCAUUGUUUGUUCACCGUCGUAUAUUGUUCUGUCUAUGUUUGCGUUGUUAUGUCUUUCCAUCUAUAGCAUUUGUAUAAUAUUCCUCUUCGGCCUUCACACGUAACAUCUAAUCUAUUAAUUUAGGAUCCUACUUUUUCAUCUAUCAUACAAAAAUCUAUGUUAGACCAUUAACUAAAACUUUAACUAAAAAUUUUAAAUUUACUCAUAUGUAAUAUUUUCUUAACAGAAACAAAUAAACAAUAUACAUCUAAACAAUAACAUUCUUAAGAAAAGCCAAAUAUAUUUUCAUUAUGCUAUUAUUUUUUACUGUUUAUCAUAUUUAAUCUAUUUAUUUAUAUUUAUAUUUUAGUAAUUAAUUUUAAAAUUAAAUAGUAUAUCCUAAUUCUUUUUAAAUUGCCAUAUAAACUUUUUAUAAAACAAAAUAAAUAAUAAUUUAUUGGUUGUAACAUUUUAUGUUUGAUUUUUGUAGUAAAUAUAAAAAAAACAAACUGAAAUAUAAUAUAUUAAAUAAAAUAAUAUUUUAAAGAUAUAAUAUUAAAUAAUUCAGUCAGAUAAAAACAUUUCGAGAAUAAAUGUUUUUUUGUCAUCUUUCGAGAAUAAAAAUUUUUAAACAAAAAAUUAAUAAAUUAUAAAACUAAUGUUUUAAAUAAAAAAAUAAGUGAUUAAUAUAUGGUUAGUACAAUUUCAUCAAAAACAAAUUACAACAAAUAUAAAAUUUUCAAAAUAAUACUCUCUUUGUAGAUGAAGCUUUGGUUCUUUGCAUAUAUAUUAAGAAAUUACUUUUCUAAACAAAAAAAAUCAUUGAAAUAUAAUUUGAAACUAAUUCAUUUAAUUAUAAACACAAUUAAUAAAAAUAUGAUUGAGUACACAAUUUUUGAUAAAGUUAAAGUUACCUAAAUAUGUGAAAACAUCAUCUAUUGUGAAACAAUAACAAUCACCUGAAACAUCAUCUAUAUCGAAACGGGGGAAAUAUUAUAUACUUAAAACUGAUAGUAAAUAUAUAUAUAUAUAUAUAUAUAUAUAUUAUUUUAUUAUUUAAAUACAAUUUUAAAAAUAGACAUAUUCUGCAGGUACGUGCAGAUUCAAAUCUAGUUUGUACUUACAUUUAACGUUAACAUACAUGUUUUUAUAUAAUUGUGUUUAGUCAGCAUUUGGGUUUGCAUUUGCUUGGAAAAUUUAAUCACUUCAAAGAUAUGCUUCUUAUAUAACAUAUUACUACUGGCCACUUAGCGGUUACAAAGAAUCUAACAAAUGGUUCUAUUUUAGAGUACAAGUGACAAAAAAAACUUUAGAACAUGAUAAAGAUACUCCUUGAUUAAUUUGUUAUAUCUGGAAGGUUCGAAAGGACAAACUAUUUAUAAAAAUCAAUAAUAAUCUAUUGAAGACUAUUAGACAUGCGGAAGGAGGGUGUCGAGUCUAGCAUAAGGUGAAUUCUAGAGAGAUAGUAGAACCAUAUUAGGAUUACAAAAUAUUUGUAUAUAUGGUUAAUGUGUUUUGAAGUUAAAAUCACAAUCCAAUAAUGGUUGUGGAUGGACUUGAAAAUUUUAAAUGGGGAAUUCAAUUUUUAGGAACUAUGAACAGAGAGGAAAAAACUCUGUCAUUAGAUGCAAAAGUAGAAGCACUCUUAUGUACGAAGAAAAGAUUGUAAAGAUUUGAUAUCAAUAAUUGAAAAUUCAGAAGCGGAUGUAGUCAAGUUUUUCAACAAAAUUAAAAGAGAGUUAAGACACUAAAUCAUCAUUGAGCAAAAAAUUCUAUAGCGAAUUCAUUAGCUAAUACUGUUAAUGUUGAUUGUUUAUUUCGAUUUGGUUAUUUAAAUCACCUCUGUUUUGAGUAAUAUGAUAGGUAGUUAUGUAAAAGAAAAAAAAAACAUUUGUUUUUGCCUUUACAUAUACAUUAUACAUUUUAAACCCACGAAAUUUUCUUGAGUACAAACUCCAAACUCUAAAAUUUAUUUUUCUAUAUAUGAAAAAAAAAACAUUUGCAUUUUAACUUGAUAGUUGAUACCGUAAGUCAUAUCGACCUUUUUUAUUUACUUGAAUUAAUUAUAUACCAAUUCACCCUGGACAAAACACUCCUCACAUGGAAACGAUAAUUGAUACUUGUGUAGGGUUUCUACCAACUUAACUUGUAAUAAGUCAUCUGGCUGUUCGCGUCAUCGAAGACUUUCUUGAAUAAGAACAUAAUGCCCCUACUAGUUUUAGAAAGACAACGACUUCGAUCGACAUCAACGGGGCACACAUUCAACCACUGCAUUUGGAAGGAUGAAAUUGUCUGUGAAACAUCGUUUUAUUUCCAUUUAUAAUUGGAAUCUUAUUUCCAGAUACAAUGAUUCUUGCAACAAAAACAUUUCGCUCCACUGCUUUUGGCUUUGUUGAUUCAUGGAAGAGAAUAUCAGAAAUGACGAUUUAUGAUAAAAGCAAGUUUCAGUGGCUACAGUAUAAGUACAGUGAAUAGUCUUAGGCAGAGGGUCCAUAACUCAUUAGAAAAGUUGACUUGAAGACGAAUAAUUGAGAAAUUCAUCAUACUAGACACUCAAUAGUGGCAUUGAUGCUAUAGUUAGUGCAGUUAUCAUAAUAAAUAUGGUGAAAUCUGGAAGAAAGAAGAAUAAAACGGUGAAAGUAUGCAUAGUUGUUUUCUCAAACGGGAUAAGAGAGUCAUCAUGUUGGGGCAUGACAGGGUUAUAGGCUAUAUAGCGCAAGCACCCCUACAGGCUAUAGACUAGACUACAGUAGCUUACUGUGACAUCCUUAGUUAUAACCAAAAGAGUGAUUAUGAAACUAGAGUCUAGACCGAUCCGAUAAUUAGAAUAGAUUUGACUAUCAACCGGUGAUAUAACCCGGGUUAGAUAAGAUCUUCAAGUUACUGAACUGAAUAAAACCAUUAAAAUUAUUAAAUUUUUAAAAAAUCUACGGACCAGAUAAGCAAAAAAUUAACAACAUUUCCAAUGUUCAUAUUUAAAAUUAUAUAUCAUAUUUACUAUUAUUAUUUUUAAGCUUACACAUUAAAAAUCAAUGUAUGUAAAAGUUGUGAACUAAGUUCAACCGAUUAAACUAGAUUGAACUAUGAUCCAAAUAAUUAUCCAGUCUCGUGUACUAAGAUGAUGAGUUGAUAAGCUCAUUGUAACCACAUGGAUGAUGAUAUCUUUUUUUUAAUUAAUUAUUGUUAUAAAGUAAAAUUUUCGUUACAUUUUUUUUUGUACUUCCUUGUUACUUUCUUAAUUUUCAGUAUUUAAAUGAAAUCACAUUCGAAGGUUAUUAAGAAAAAUGAUAAAAAGUGGUUAAAAGUUCGACGCAUAAUAAUAAUGAUAGUCACCAGUCAUGGAGAAAACAAAAGUCUUAAGAUCCAAAACACACACAAUACGAAUGGUUCUCUUGC